UAGUCAGCCAGGCAGAAGCACGAGUAGCCUGGGGACUCCAUUCGCAGCUACUGCCUGACGUUCAGUUUUCCCACAGAUCUCUCUAAAUAGAAAACUUAAAAUCUGGAUCAUUGAGACAGGAGUGGGAAAGACAGCUCCACCAGGAGAGAGUCUGCCAUCCAGGCUCUAGGACCUGUGUAUAGAUUCCCAGCACCGGCGUGAAGCCAGAGCCAGCAGCUGCAUCUAUAAAUAAAGUACAGGUGAAGUUGA